AGAAAACCCGGAAGCAUUUGGCGUGCGGCAGAGCAGCCCUACAUUCCCACAGCCCCCUGAGCACCUGGCAUGGGUCCCCCAGCCCCCAUCUUCCAGGGUCAGCAGCAUCAUCCACACUGUGGCCAUACCCUUGGACUGUGAUUUGUCUGUUCUUACAUGGAGCCUCCACAAGAGUUGCGUUUGAUUGUAAGAGCCGGAAGGACAUGCUGACGCAGGACCAGGGGCCACCCUCUCAGCCGGACGGAGGCAGGAUCGACGCUGACACACGUCAGAGUGUCUAUGCAGGCUCUGUGGAAGCCCGCCGUAUCAUCCACAUGACUCAUCCUCAUUUGAUAGACAAGGCACCUGCAGAUCCAUCGGAAAUACAGGCCUCCAGGCCUGAGGGGACUUCCGCACCCUCUCUUCCAGUUACUGCCUAUUCUUAGGCUCUGCUUUUUUGACAAUCGAAGAACAGGGUCUUAUCCAGCACAAUACCCUGAUCACACUGGAUGCCUUGGAAAUAUCUGCAGCACUGAACUGACUGUAGAGUGGUGGAGAGUAGACGAAGCCCCUGGGAGGAGAGCUGUGCGGCUUUCAUCUGGGCUGAGGCUCUAUCUCAAAUGGCUUGAUUUUCUCUGUGUGGUGGCCAAGCCGUCUCCCCCUACCCAGACACCAGCUUCUGCCAAAACGCAAUGAUGCCUUAAUAGUUGGGCUGGAUUUCUGCUGGAUACUUUUAGCUUCAGCAGAAGAUAAACUAUUUGCUCCUUUACCUUCCCAGCCUUUGAGAAUAGGACUGUCCCCAUUGCAGGAACCCCAUGGUAACAUCAUCCUCCACCCCACUGGAGGCAAUCUCAUUUCCUUAGUGAGGACGACCAGAGACAGAUGGGUGGCCAUGCUCAGUACUAAUUAAACCAGCAAAGGAGGGCUUGAUCUCCAGGGCAGGAAGAAGGGUCCUCUUCCCAUUCCCUGAGGAUGCAAAACACAGCUCUGCCACUCACUGGUCCAGUGACUUUUGGCAAGUCACUGAAUCUCUCCCGGUCUCUGUGUUCCCAUAUGUAAAAGUAAUAGACCCAUCUCAUAGAGGGUACAAAAAGGAUUAAAUGAGUUAAUACACAUCGAGGACUGAACGUGGUGCUUGGCCGAUAGACAUGCUCAAUAAAUGUUAUGGCUAUUGGAAGUCUCUACGGAAAAGCAGAUCUCAGAGGGAUGAACUAUGGAUGUGUUCAACCUUGAACAUGUUCUCUUAGGAAUCAGCCACAUAUUCUCCAGUAAUGCAGGCAGGUCCUGGGACUUGAGUCUGUACCAAGGACCCAAGAUGACGUAGGAGGGAGAAAGCGGAAUAAUAGUGGUACCUGGGGGUAAUGCAGCCAGGUGAAGAUUCUGAGCAGGACACUGAGCUUUUAGGACUAACUGAUCCAAACUCAUUAUGACUUUUCUCAUUCAUUCAUUCACACAACAAAUAUUUAGCAAGGGCAUAUUGGGGGCGAGGCAGUGUGCUGAGUCCUGCCGAUCCCGUGAUGAACAAGAGCAUACAUUCCUGGAAUUUCUGUCCUAACUGAGGGGGUGGGAGCAAGGGGAGGCAGACUACAGAUAAGUAGAUGAAUACAUGAACGAGAUCAUUUCAGAGAGUACCUUGGUCAUCUAUUGCUACAUAGCAAACCACCCUUAAAAUGACGGUGGCUUAAAGUGGCUUAAAAUGACGGUGACCAUUUAUUUGCUCAGGAUUCUGAAGUUUGAGCAGGGGAAUCUGCAGUUGGAGUGGAUCAGCUCAUCUUUGCUCCACAUGGCUUUAACUGGGGCUGGAGGACCCACUUCCACAAUGGCUCACUUGCUAGGCUUGUUGGCUGUGGCUGGCUGUUGGUUUGGGGCCCAGGUGGGGCAAUAGGCCAGGGCCUUAGCCCUCCUUUGUGCCACCUCUUCACGUGGGUAAGCAAGGGCUUCUCACUGUCGAGGGAGCAUUCUAAGACAAGUGUCACGAGAAACAAGAAGCCACCGAAGUAUUCUAGGCACGGGAGUAAUGCUGUUUGAUG
rnacentral:lncRNA from 1 species